UUGGAGGGCAAGUCUGGUGCCAGCAGCCGCGGUAAUUCCAGCUCCAAUAGCGUAUAUUAAAGUUGUUGCAGUUAAAAAGCUCGUAGUUGAAUUUCGGGAUCAGAUUGUCGGUCGUGCCUCGGUACGCACUGGUAUUAUUGGUUCCUACCUUCUGAAGAACCGCGAUGUCAUUAAUUUGGUGUCGUGGGGAAUCAGGACUGUCACUUUGAAAAAAUUAGAGUGUUUAAAGCAGGCUUACGCUUGAAUACAUUAGCAUGGAAUAAUGAAAUAGGACGUUUGAUUCUAUUUUGUUGGUUUCUAGGAUUGACGUAAUGAUUAAUAGGGAUAGUUGGGGGCAUUAGUAUUCAAUUGUCAGAGGUGAAAUUCUUGGAUUUAUUGAAGACUAACUACUGCGAAAGCAUUUGCCAAGGAUGUUUUCAUUAAUCAAGAACGAAAGUUAGGGGAUCGAAGACGAUCAGAUACCGUCGUAGUCUUAACCAUAAACUAUGCCGACUAGGGAUCGGAUGAUGUUAAUUUUUUAAUGACUCAUUCGGCGCCUUACGGGAAAC
rnacentral:rRNA from 1 species